rnacentral:lncRNA from 1 species
GCCUAAAAAAUAAAAUAAAAAACAAAAAGUAUAACCUUAGCCAGCCUAUGACUGUGCUGUCUUUUGCUCUGCUAACUGAUUCACCCAUUUUAUUAUUCAGUCGCUGUAUUCUUGUCUCCUUUCUUCUCCUUUUACUUUUGGAUGUGCCAUUGUUCUGAUUAGUUGAGAGGUGCCGAACAGAUAACUAAUUAUGGCAGUGUGAGCCACAGGAUAAUUCUCAAGUGAUCUCUGCUGUAGCAUGUCCCCACAUAGGGCAUAGUGGGCAAGGUUAAGAAGGAAUUCUAACCUUGAAUACCUGAGGACCUGACUCCGUUCUCAUUCUCUAUCCCUGUGCUCAUCAGAAAAUGCCAAUCCUAAGCUAUUUGGGUGGGGUUGGUUGGAGAGACAUGGAAAAGUACCCUGGGCAGCUGAAGUGCCUGUUAAAUCUUACCCACAUUUGAACAAAUUCACUCUAAGUUGAUUUGGUUCUCCUUUAAAAUGAGAGAAAGCAAGGACUUAGACUGCCAAUUGCCCCCUGAAAUUAUCUUUGGCUGCAUUAAAGAGCUUCACAGAAUGACAGUUACUUUUUAUUAUCAAGAGCUUACUUGUAAUUAUAAAGUAUAGAGAAUAUACAUAUAUGCCAAUGAAUGAAGCAUGGGAACACUAAUAAAUUUAAAAAUUCAACAGGCUCCUCAAACAACUGGGCCCAAGACAGAAACUGCUCAGAGCAAGAUUUUCAAAUAGAUCUUUUUCUAGUGACUGAGAUAUUUAAGAAAAAUUGGCAUAAAGUAGAACCCGGAAUCUUCUGUUCACUUAUUUUUCUGGCUAUUACAUCAUCCCUGAAAAUAAACAAAUAAAUAAAGCAGGGGUCAGAGAAGGUAUAGUACUUUUUGGAUGCUGACUAUGGAUAAGGCUUUUUGCUUGUUUCCACAGCACUUCCUAUCCCUGCUUUCUGUAUCCUUGGAAAGAAAUGUGGAAUAAUGAAAAUAGCAAAAGGCUUGGCAGCCAGGCAGGCCCAGGUGUGAUCUCAGUCCCACCAUUCAUUCUCUGGGUGGCCUUGGGCAGGUCACUCUAACUCUGUGAGCCAAAGGGUCACUAAAGCACCCUUCCUGGAAUUCCUUUGAGGAGUCAGUGAGGGAGCACACAGUGAGUGGGGCUUCCCUUCAUAUCCCCUGCUCUGGGCCAGGGACCAGGACCUGGUGUCAGGGUCUUUACCCAGCACUGUACCAACACUUGCUCUCCAAAAUGGGACUAGGGUGAAAUUUCUUCACAGUAUGAAAAUAAUGGCCCAGGGAACGAAGCAAAUGCCAAGAGCUGAGCCUUAGGGAAUGACUAGUAGGCCCAGAUUCUUGGGGUGACUUCCUUCGAAGACUUCAUUUGUUAACACCUUCCUUCCCUUCUUGUUAGUUUCAGUGGGAAGUAGGAUUGGGGUGAUUUGGAGAAGCAGUGGGGAAUUUAGUUAGGGGAGACUCCUGGGUACCUGUGGGGACAUAAAAAGGGAUUGGUGUGGGAUGGCAGGUAGAGGCCACAAGAGGAGGGCGUGAAUGCUACAUGAAGGAGUUUGUUGUUGUUUGGUGGAAGAGGAGGAGGUAUGCAUGUGAGGAGGGGUGGCCAUGAGCCUGGAGCUGUCCUGCAGGGCAGCUUCUUUCACUCUGCUGCGUAUGUGGUGGAGAGCUCUGACCCACCCUGCUCUUGAGUGUUUCUGAAUGCUAGGAGCGGGGACAAACCUGCAAGGCUGAUUGGAUGUUGAGGAACAAGUAUGUAAAGAGAAGUGUAUACAUAAAAACCAAAAAUCCCUGGGGCUUUGAAUCCUUCUAGAGCUCCUGGCCACCUUCUUCAGGACAGCAACUGACAGUGUUGUGAAGUGCUUGGCUUUGUCCUUCUCGCAGGCCAUCUGGGCUAAGUAGUGAGAUCCACGUGGCCAGGAAGGAAGGCAUGCAUCUCCCCAGGCCUGUGGCUCUCCUUGUAUUGACCUUGCUGCUUCCUGGGCUAAGCAGCUGCAGUGAGGGUGUGUUGCCCUGAAGCAGUUACGUCAUUCAUUAAUCCAAAUUCUGAAAGACAAAUGAGCAUAUGGUGCUAAAAUACUUUUUUUUUAAAAGCCACAGUUUCAUUGUCUUAGUCAAAGCAAGAUUAUUACGUGAUUAUUUUAAAUUCAUUUUUUUAAAUUAGCAAUUUCAAGUAUAACAAAUUUGGAAUAAAGGUUUGUUUUCUAUUAAUAAAAAUGAAUAGUGACAAAACCCCCAAUAUUCUAGAUUGUGAGACUUCCCUCUUGUUGUAGUUGGACCACAUUUAAGGACUAAAUUGGAAGGAAGGAGCAAGAGGAGUCUGUGACAAACCUGUGGUUAAGCUCUCUUUGAAGAAAUCGCACAGUAUGGCUCCGUGCUCUGAACAUGCUCUGUGUCUGCCCUUUUUCAAAGGCGAGACAGCCACCUCGAGGCCAGUCAGACCAUGAAUAAUGGUCUAAGCCCUUGCCACCAGGAUGGAGAGGUCUGAGCAGUACAGUGAAGAGGCUUCAUCAGCAAGGGCUGAUUCAACGGCACCUCUCUCUGGAUUCAAUGGCAUUCUUUCUGGAGGUUAGCCCAUUUCUUUAAGUCAGCUCCAUCCAAGUUUGAUUAUCCUUCUUUGAAUCUCUUCCAACAAUUUGACAUCCUUGAGGUUGAAUAGCUGAAAACUGCACAUAGCGCAGCACUCCACACAAAACACCUUUAGAAAUUUCUAGUUGAGAAGAACUUGGGCAAAGUCAAAUCUCCCCACUUGAUUUUGUUUAUGUUCCUCUCUUGGGAUUUGUCUUGGGCAUGUUACUGUACAAAUAACUGCUAUCAUCAUCAUCAUCAACACCAGUUUUAAGAAUUAUAAUAGCAAUAAAAUUGACUUACCAUUUUUGAGACUGGAGUUUUGUUACCUGAUAUGGUUUGACCCUGUGUCCCCACCCAAAUCACAUGUCAAAUUGUAAUCCCAGUGUUGGAGGAGGGGUCUGGUGGGAGGUGACUGGAUCAUGGGGGCGGACUUCCCCCUUGCUGUUCUCAUGAUAGUGAGUGAGUUCUCAUGAGAUCUGGCUUUUUGAAAUGUGUAGCACCUCCUCCUGCUCUCUAUUCCUCCUGCUCCUGCCAUGUGAGACAUGCUGGCUUCCCCUUUGCCUUCCGCCAUGAUUGUAAAUUUCUCGAGGCUUCCCAAGCCAUGCCUCCUGUACAGCCUGUGGAACUGUGAGUCAAUCAAACCUCUUUUCUUUAUAAAUUACCCAGUCUUGGGUAGUUCUUUACAGCAGCAUGAGAACAGACUAAUACAUUACCUAAAACAAAUUUUGGAAACAAAUCAGGUCAUUAAAAAGUGCAAGCACGGCCAGCCAUACUAAGCCACCUGUUCACUGUGUUGCUGGGGUUUUUUUUUUUUUUUCAAUUUAUUUUUUUGAGCCAGCAUUCUUUUGUGAAUAUCAAUUUCUACUGGGCAAUCAGGCCAUGUGGUCUCUCCUCUGGACUGGCCCCUACAGCCUUCCACACUCUGUGACACUCAGUGGCCACAGGCCCCUGGAAAAUUGGAUGUGUGACUGAGUCUUUAAGAGGUGGAGUGACUUACUUUAAUUCAGUAAGUCAAUAUGUUUUAAACUCAGAUUGUUUGUUCCACAAUAGGAAAAAGCUGUGAAAUUUCUUGUCUCAGCUCUGUCUACCACUACUUUGGAGGGGCUACAGGUAUCAGUGAGAUAAACCAAAGUCAGAUAUUCAAACUGGGGCAUAAAAUGUUCUGCAUGAGUGUCAAGAAUGGUUCUUUGGGUGUGGCGAAGGGUUCACACCUACAUUUAAUUUUCGAAAUGUGUUUCUUAAAAAUAUGCCAAAAAGAUACCUAGAAAAACACAUAUCACUGAUUGAAAUAUGUAAUGCAUUUAAAUAUACAUACAUAUGUAUAUACACACACACAUAUAUGUUUUCAUAAUCACACUAAUAUCUGCCCUGCUACACUGAUGGUCAAAUAUUUUGGGAGAGAACAUCUGGCAGCCUACCUCUAGUCAUCUUUUCCUCUAUAAAACUCUUCCAAUACCCUGUUCUAGCUAUGCUUAACCUUCCAAGCUUAUCAAACAAGUCAGGUUCUCUCUCCACUCCACACAUUGCUCAAAUUGCUUCCACUGCCUCAGAUAUCCUGCUCUGCCCCCAUUCUUAACCUGGCUACCUACUCUUAGAGUUUCAGUGAUCUCUUCCAGGAAGCCUUCAAACAUGCACACACAAAUACUUGACUAGCAUCUCAUGCACAGAUACUUGCAUACUUGACUGGUACCUCAUGCUUACUUCUAUCAGAUGAUAGCGUUGGCUACCCCGUAUAGGACGAUCUGUUUACUUAUCUGUCCCCCGCCACACCAGACAUAGGCCAUCAGGUCCACCAGGACUGGUGUCUUUAUUGUUGCAUGUUUCCAUUCUUCACACAGCACCUGGAAAAUAGGUAAAUAAAUAUUAAGUGAGUGAAUGAAUGAAUGAAUGAAUGGGAUGAAGGAAUGAAUUCUUGCUACUGACUGGUGCAUAGUUGCUACGCACAUCCACCUCCAAUUCAGCUCCCUGCUGGAGUCUGAAAUUGAAGGCUGGUGGAGAGAGGAUUUGGUCUUCCUAGGCAAAAUGCAGUUACCUGACUUAACCAUUCACACUCCAUGUGGAUGGGAUAAAAACACCUAAGUGAGUUUUUCUUGUCCUGGUGAUUUUUGUAGCAGUUUGUGGCUCAUUUUUAUCAAGUCUAGAUACAAUUUUCUUUCAUGUGCUAUGAAGUCUUGGUUCCUGUAACACAAACCUCUUUAAUCAUUAGUCUUUCUGGUAGAAUUUGAUAGGGGCCAUAUAAAAUGCUUCUCUUCAUCUGCUAAGAGCCAUUUAUGGACACUUACUAUGAGCAAUAUACAUUGCAAAAGACCAGAAAACUCACCCUCUGCUUAUGAUUCAGCACUGUAACAUGAUAGCCUGGAAACUAGUCUGAUAGUUUAAUCAGUGCUAUGUGAUCCUUAUUUGUGGUUGGCUGCCUCAUCAAUUUUCAUUUGGGAAUUGAAAUGGACUCUGAGGCAGAUAUGGCAUUAAUUAUGGGGGAAAUUGGUUGCAAUAUGCCUUGAGGUAAAACCCUUCUGAUGGGAAUCUAAGAUUGAAAGAAAGCCAAAUUAUAAAAGGAUGAUUUACUGAAAAAGGCAAAUGUAUGCAUUACCAUCACUGCUUAGCAGAGAAAAAGUUGCUGAUAAACCAGAAAGAUUGUGGCAUGACUGAAAAGUGAGGAAAAUCUCUAGGUCUAGCUCUCUCAAAAAAAAGAUUUAUUCUUAUGCUGAAUGCAUUAUAUUUCCCCAGAUACAUACAACAUUUUCCAAAAGUGUGCUUCAAUUAAUAGGCAAGCAAGCAUUAAUACUAGUUGGCAGGGUCCCAAUUUUCUUCUAGAUUGAAAUAUAUUUACUAAGAACUGAAUAGGGAGCAUCUAGGGACACCAAAGUUAAAAUUCAUUUUACCAGUUGUAGUAUCUGCUGUUGUAUCAAUUUUCUUGUUAAAAUACCACAUUUUUUUUACCUGAAGAUUUCAAAAACCUUCUUAGUUAAUACCCUAUUUUUCCUAUCACUGAAUCUUGAUGAGGUAAAAUACAGAGGAAAAGUCAUCAUAGAAA